AUCUUUCAAAUUUUGGCGUAAUCACCUCAAUUCAAAAAAAUUAGCCACACAUUCCCAUAUUACCUACCUCGGACCAAAGAGCCUAACAAUUGAAAGCCACAAAGCCCCAAUGAUCCCAAUAGCUUAUUGUUCAAUAUUAGUUGAGUAAAAUAAUUUGGUGAGUAUUUGGAGUCAAAUAUAUGCAUGUAAGUAUAAAUUCUUUCUAUCUUUAACUUGCAAAUAUUGGAUACUUGAAGCAAUUGUAGGAUUUGUGGUUUUUGGUAAUAAUGAGUGACUAAGUGCCGUUGAAUGUUAAGCUUGCGAAUACCUG
rnacentral:lncRNA from 1 species